rnacentral:rRNA from 1 species
UACGGGGGGGGCAAGCGUUGUUCGGAAUUACUGGGCGUAAAGGGCUCGUAGGCGGCCAACUAAGUCAAACGUGAAAUCCCUCGGCUUAACCGGGGAACUGCGUCUGAUACUGGAUGGCUUGAGGUUGGGAGAGGGAUGCGGAAUUCCAGGUGUAGCGGUGAAAUGCGUAGAUAUUGGGAGGAACACCAGUGGCGAAGGCGGCUACCUGGACCGGUUCUGACGCUGAUGCGCGAAAGCGUGGGUAGCAAACAGG